CCUACGGGCGGCAGCAGUGGGGAAUAUUGGACAAUGGGCGAAAGCCUGAUCCAGCCAUGCCGCGUGUGUGAAGAAGGCCUUCGGGUUGUAAAGCACUUUCAGUGGGGAAGAAAGCCUUGGGGCUAAUACCCUCGAGGAAGGACAUCACCCACAGAAGAAGCACCGGCUAACUCCGUGCCAGCAGCCGCGGUAAUACGGAGGGUGCGAGCGUUAAUCGGAAUUACUGGGCGUAAAGCGCGCGUAGGCGGUCUGAUAAGCCGGUUGUGAAAGCCCCGGGCUCAACCUGGGAACGGCAUCCGGAACUGUCAGGCUAGAGUGCAGGAGAGGAAGGUAGAAUUCCCGGUGUAGCGGUGAAAUGCGUAGAGAUCGGGAGGAAUACCAGUGGCGAAGGCGGCCUUCUGGACUGACACUGACGCUGAGGUGCGAAAGCGUGGGUAGCAAACAGGAUUAGAUACCCCAGUCGUC
rnacentral:rRNA from 1 species